GAACGGACGACGUCUCCCCCUUGUCACCUUUUGGUACAUCCCAGAACGUUCCACCGAGACCAGGAGGGGAGGGGUCGGUUCGCUCAGACUGCAAACUCCUCCAGAGCAGCUGGGAUUAACAGACCUGCACCACCAAGUCCAGCACUGUGCUUGAAGUUAUCUUGAAGCCUUAACUACCACUGUGACUGUAUUUGGAGAAGGGCCUCUGAGGAAGUGAGUCACAGGGUGGGGCCUUGAUGUCCAUUUAGUGCCCCCCACCACUACAAGGCUUCUCUCUGUAAAGCCCUGGCAGCCCUAGAACUUACUCACAGAGAUCUGCCUGCCUCUGCCUCCCGACGGCUGGGAUUAAAGGCUUGCAACACCACUGCCUGGCUUCCCUCCAGUUUCAAACCUGUCCACCAUGAGCUGCACAGAGAUGCUCAGGAAGAGUUCUCCCCCAGUGAGCUGGUACCUGAUGAUCUUGGACUCUAGUCUCCAGGACUGUGAGAACAUAAAUCUACUCCUUUGAACCAU